UCAAACACGAUGCCUCUGAGUCUGACCAAAAUAAGCCUCUGCUCAUGGCCAUGGCCAUCAAGGGAUAGAUCUACGACGAGCUCAGAAGGUUUUUUUUUUUUGGAAUUUCUGGCUACUUCGAAUUUUUCUUUUUUUGGGGUUUUAUUUUGUCUUUUGUUUUGGAGUAAAUACACAAAAUUGUUCAGAUUUAGCAUCUGAGUUCUUUUGUAACUAAUGGUAUUAGCCGAUAUGUGAUGAAUUUUUUAUUGAGUUUUGGGAUUCUGGGCAUGUCAGAGAAAAACUAUAAAAAUUUUGGUAGUGUUUUGGGUACGUUAAAUUUGUUGAAUUUUCUUGGGUCACCUGGUGCUUUUCCAUUUGUGUAUAUAAGAAUUUUUGAUCUAUCAUGUCUCUGCUGAAAUGCUGUUAGUUUUGCCGGUGUUUCCAUACUUUCUUAGUCCAGAUGCAAGUGGGACUCUUCUUUUGUCCCACAAAUCCCACUUAUGAUGAGAUAGCAAUGAGAAGAGGUAAGGGCAGCAUUAUUGACCGACUGCUUGUUCUGCGCUAGUUGGCUCAAAAUGGAUGACCAGGGUAAUUGGUCCUCUUGACCCCUCCUGGCAUCCUCCAAAAGGAUGAUAUGGAUGUUAUUUGGCAUGUCAUUUUAGAAAAUGAGGUUAUACAUCUUGAGGAUGGAAAUCAACAGCUGCUUUAAUAUAUCAAUUCAGUUAGGAUUGAAGACUUUACUAAUGUGCGUGUUGCUGGCAAGGACGGGAAUGUGAAGCUAUCAUCUUCUUGUCUUGUAUGUAUUUGUUAGCCAUCGUGUUCUUAUUUGUUUCUAUUUUCUAUCAAGAUCAAGGCAAACACUUAGACCAAAGCAAGCAAUUAGAGCAGAAGAAGCAAGGCUCAACACGUAUAGCAGAGGUUCAAGAAGCAAUAUCUGAAGCUCUUGUAGCUUAGUAGCUGUGUUUGUUUCAUUAACAAUAUACGACUUGUAGUUUAGUAUUAUUUUCUUUCAUUAGUGUUCACACGUGAGUAGGUUAGUUUGUUGACAUGUGAGAGAAGUUGUUAGUUAGUUAUUCUGAUUUGUUAGCUUAGCUCAGUGCUCUGUUUCUCGUUCCUAGCUGGACUUGAUGAUGUAUAUAAAGACACAAGCUAAAUUAAUUAA